rnacentral:rRNA from 1 species
UACGGGAGGCAGCAGUGGGGAAUAUUGCACAAUGGGGGAAACCCUGAUGCAGCGACGCAGCGUGCGGGAUGACGGCCUUCGGGUUGUAAACCGCUUUCAGCAGGGAAGAAGCGAAAGUGACGGUACCUGCAGAAGAAGUACCGGCUAACUACGUGCCAGCAGCCGCGGUAAUACGUAGGGUACGAGCGUUGUCCGGAAUUAUUGGGCGUAAAGAGCUCGUAGGUGGUUGGUCACGUCUGCUGUGGAAACGCAACGCUUAACGUUGCGCGUGCAGUGGGUACGGGCUGACUAGAGUGCAGUAGGGGAGUCUGGAAUUCCUGGUGUAGCGGUGAAAUGCGCAGAUAUCAGGAGGAACACCGGUGGCGAAGGCGGGACUCUGGGCUGUAACUGACACUGAGGAGCGAAAGCAUGGGGAGCGAACAGGAUUAGAUACCCUGGUAGUCCAUGCCGUAAACGUUGGGCACUAGGUGUGGGGGACAUUCCACGUUCUCCGCGCCGUAGCUAACGCAU